rnacentral:lncRNA from 1 species
GAAAUUGAUUAUCUCCCAACUUCGUUUGGUAUGGGAUUUUUCAGCCCUGUAUAGUUAAAGAUAUAUCCACAGUAGGGUUCAUACUCUGUACCAAGUCCGUACACUCUUUCACAUGAUAUCCGGUAUGCCAUUUUUAUUGAUUUACUCGUGCAUAUUUUUCAUUAUUCUUAAAUCACAUAGAACCCAUACUUCAACUAAUACUAGAAUAUGAAAUUUAUGUUUCAAAACCCGUUAAGAGAUAAAAUUAUAAAUAGAA